CCCGUCGGACGCUUGUUGUUGUCGGGCCGGGGGAGGCGGAGGUCGCUGUUUCGUUCUCUGGCUGGUGCGAUCUCGGCGGUCCGCGGCAGGUCGGUCGCGAAAGCGGACGCUGCAGGGGGGCGAGGCUAUGUCGCGGCUGCAGCCCGUAUGGGCCGGCAGGGCCUGGAGUAACGGGACGUCGCCGCGAAGCUUCUUCCCCCGGAUACAGUGCGGCCCUAGUGGAGGCCGCGGCGCCGCCCUCCAGUCCUGAAGAACCCGCGCUGCGCAGAGCCCGCGCCGCCGUCACCUCGGCACCGACACUAAGCAACCCAGCUAGCUUGGCUUGAUCUAGCCCAUUUUUGGCAGGUAACAGGAUCAUCUCCCUAUCAGCCAACGCUGAGUUCUCAGGGUCAGGUAAGGUGAGGAAGAGGAGCUACAUGAUGGACUCAAUGUUAGAUGGAGCUGCGAACAAUAUUCUGCUAGUGGGUGGAAAGGCUGAAAGCAGCCCUUUGGAGCUAGGUAGCCAUACCUGGCUUCCCACAUUCCCAGGUAGCGCUGCACUAGUCCCACUGGCACAAGAAGCUCCCUUCCCAAAGGACAUGAAGCUAUUGGAGAACUCCAGCUUUGAGGCCAUCAACUCACAGUUGACAGUGGAGACUGGAGAUGCCCAUAUUAUUGGCAG
rnacentral:lncRNA from 1 species